UCAUGUUCUAGUUUUAAAUCAUAGUUAAGCACUUGAACUUUGUGUUCAAGUAAAAUAUUACUAUUUUUUCUUUCAACUCCUAAAGUUAAAAACCAGAUAAGAUGCAUUUUCUUACUCUUAAAUCAGUAUUUCUACCCAAAGGCGAAUUUUAAAAGCAAAGGCUUCUAGGAAUGGGUCCAUAAGUUGGCUUCAGAGGUGAGGAGCUCAGCAAACCCUUACUAGGUAUAUGUGCAGUUUUCUGCAGGGAGGUGCCCAGUUUUCAGAUUUAAAAUAAAGUCAUGAUCCCAAAAAGAUUAAAGGCUACUCUUUCAAGAAUUACUGAAAAUGCUUAGGCUUGAAAUAUUUUCCAUCUUACAUUUAAAAUAAUUAAAGUGUUUGGUUUUUAAAAAUUUAUCAAAAAAAAUCAGUGAUUUCAAAAUACGUAGGUAUUCUUUCAAAAGCAGGUUAAAUAAUCUGUAUUUAAAUAUUGAACUAUCCACUAAUAAACUUUGAAAUGUUUUAUGUUUUGGUAUGUUUUAUUUUUAGCAGUUACUUAAUUGAAAAUAUGAAAAGGUCUAUGUAUAAUGGCGUAGAGUUUUAAACAUCAAAAUAAGGUUUAGUAGGGUGUUCAACUUAAUAUCAAGCUUUAGAUAUUUUAAUUGUUCUUAAUUAGAAAAUAAUAUAAUUUUUUAUAAGUCCCAAUGACUUUAAUUUUUUUAUAUAACUACGUAAUGUGGU
rnacentral:lncRNA from 1 species